rnacentral:rRNA from 1 species
GGCCGCGGGAAUUCGAUUCAGGCCUAACACAUGCAAGUCGAGCGGCAGCGGGAAAGUAGCUUGCUACUUUUGCCGGCGAGCGGCGGACGGGUGAGUAAUGCCUGGGGAUCUGCCCAGUCGAGGGGGAUAACUACUGGAAACGGUAGCUAAUACCGCAUGCGCCCUACGGGGGAAAGCAGGGGACCUUCGGGCCUUGCGCGAUUGGAUGAACCCAGGUGGGAUUAGCUAGUUGGUGAGGUAACGGCUCACCAAGGCGACGAUCCCUAGCUGGUCUGAGAGGAUGAUCAGCCACACUGGAACUGAGACACGGUCCAGACUCCUACGGGAGGCAGCAGUGGGGAAUAUUGCACAAUGGGGGAAACCCUGAUGCAUAAAGGCCGCGUGUGUGAAGAAGGCCUUCGGG